rnacentral:rRNA from 1 species
AGUGAACGCUGGCGGCAGGCCUAAUACAUGCAAGUCGAACGGCAGCACAGCAGAGCUUGCUCUGUGGGUGGCGAGUGGCGGACGGGUGAGGAAUACAUGGGAAUCUGCCCAGUCGUGGGGGAUAACGUAUGGAAACGUACGCUAAUACCGCAUGCGCCCUACGGGGGAAAGUCGGGGACCGCAAGGCCUGACGCGAUUGGAUGAGCCCAUGUUCGAUUAGCUAGUUGGCGGGGUAAAGGCCCACCAAGGCGACGAUCGGUAGCUGGUCUGAGAGGACGACCAGCCACACUGGAACUGAGACACGGUCCAGACUCCUACGGGAGGCAGCAGUGGGGAAUAUUGGACAAUGGGCGCAAGCCUGAUCCAGCCAUGCCG